CAUAGAGAGAAAACGUUUCUUGACCGAACCUUGUGUUCAUGUCCGUCCCUCCAUCCCCCCCCAAAGCGCCAUUAAGCUAACCCAGACUUGGUCGCUCUCUCUCUCUCUCCCCUGGUAAGGGUCCUUCCAGAACCUGGGGGAGUCCGGCCGGAGAGACUCCCGCACCACCCUGCGAGGACCGAGGGAAGAGAGGCCCGACGUCUCCAAGCUACGCAAGGUCACCCUCCCUGAGGAGCUGGGAGAGGCCUUGUCCAACGGCACUGUCCUCUGCCAGCUGGCCAAUCAGAUCCGCCCGCGCUCCGUGGCCAUCAUCCACGUCCCGUCCACCGCCGUGGAAUCCAUCUGUGCCGCCCAGUUGAUCACCGAGGACGAGGGCUUGGGUCGGCUGGCCCACACGGUGCAGGUCUUGGUGGACCUCGCGCCGACUGCUGCCAGCCACCGCCGCGCUAGCAGACCGGAGCCGCUAUGGGGAGGACAGGCUAAGCACUGCUCCAUCCUUCUCUUAGCUCCAUGUCCUCCACUGAUUUAGCUGUCAUCAAAAGGUCAAAAAUGGUACCCCAAAAAAAUCAAUGAAACACUUGGUUUGCAAUCAUUGGUUGUUGAAAGUGAAAGAUGGAUUUCUUUCGUGUUUACAAGUAAAAACAGGUGUUUAGUUCGAUUUUUUUGGUUUUCAAAUAGGACUAUAUAAAUUAUGCACAUGGCAAGAUUCAUACUUUUCUUUUGUUAGGAUUUUUAACUUUAAACAUUUUUUUACUCGUCAAACAUCUAAUUAUCAUGCAAUUGUUCAUACGUUAUUAUCAUUAUCUGCAUUAUCCCGACCAACACUAACAGCAUAUGACUGCACUGAAUCCAUUUAAAAAAGCAUGUAUUUUCAAUCUUUGUCAGUUCCAUUCCCUGUCGUCGUCAUUCAGUAAAUUCAAAUAAAAAGCUACACACACUGCA